UGCUAGGAUACCAUUUGGUGGUCAACUGUCUCCAGUGCAGCUGCUAUUACUUGCCAGACUGACAGACAUAUUAGCUUUUAUCCCCCCUAAUGCUCGGGCUACAGAAAGUUUCCCUUCAUUUUAUUCCAUUUUGAUUUGGGGGGAGAGAUCAAGGUAAAGGUGCAGAAAGUACAGAAACACAAAGAAGCUACGGUGCACUUGAAUGUUGGUCUUCAUAUAUUUGAGAUGUGAUGAUUCCUGACAGCAACAGUGUCUUCAGAAUCAGGCACUGAGAGAAGGCGACCUCUAACAGAUGAAUGGCAGUGCUCAAAUUCAGAUUUAAGAAUUGGAUUAUGACUGAAGUGAUAGCACUCCUAUAUGACUGUCAACAUUUACUCUUUAUUCCAGAGCUGUUCCUGUUGGAAAAUGUAUUUAUGAAGGUCGUCAAGGGAAGAUCAUCUUGGAUAAAUUGCUGAUAACAAAUUGCUUGCUCAUUGUUACUAUUUAGGAAUUGGCAGUAACAGCUCUUAUCUUGGUUGUAUUGGGGUCCAUCCCCACCAGAACUUGAUAAAGCUCAAUAAAAUCUUUCUGAG
rnacentral:lncRNA from 1 species